rnacentral:rRNA from 1 species
CUGCAGCCCGAGUGGUGGUCGAUUUUAUUGAGCCUAAAGCGUCCGUAGCCGGACUAGUAAACCCUUGGGUAAAUUGGGCAGCUUAACUGUCCAAAUUCCGAGGGGACUGCUAGUCUUGGGACCGGGAGAGGUCAGAGGUACUCAAGGGGUAGGGGCUAAAUCCUGUAAUCCUUUGGGAACCACCAGUGGCGAAGGCGUCUGACUAGAACGGAUCCGACGGUAAGGGACGAAACCCUGGGGCGCGAACCGGAUUAGAUACCCGAGUAGUCC